rnacentral:snoRNA from 1 species
CUAUGAUGAACCAUCUAGAUGACGAGUCUGAUUCAGAUCUUCUGAUGCGGACACACAUCAACUACCAUUCAUGCAUUUCCUGAGC